ACCCGUAAAAGUUCCCAAAUCUUUAUGGCAGGAGGCACUUUCACACAUCGGGCCAUAAAACCCUGAAGCCAUAAAAACCAGGGGCCAUAAAACCCUGGGGCCAUAAAGCAGGAGCCAUAAAACCCCGCUGACCUUCGAGCUGUGGGGCUGCAGGAACCCUCGGGGCAGGAGAACCCAUCGGGGCCGUGGAAACCUUUGGGGUCUCCAGAACCCUCUGGGGUCCAUAAAAUCCUGUUGGGAUUUUAUUUGGGUCUGUAGAACCCUUUAGAGUCCAUAAAAUCCUUUUGGGGUCUCCAGAACACUUCAGAGGAGGCAUAAAAACACUUUGGUGUCCAUAAAAUCCUUUGGGGUCUGUAAAAUCCUUUUGGGGUCUGUAGAACCUUUUGGGGUCCAUAAAAUCCUUUUGAGGUCUGGGGAAUCUUUUAGGGUCAACUAAACCUGGGGUCUGUGGGACACUUUGGGGUCUGUGGGACCCUUUGGGAUCCACAGUCCCAUUGAUCUCCAGGGAUCCCUGGUGUCCCUGGCACUCAGCGGGUGACACAGUGACAGGGACAUGGUGCCAGGUGUUGCUCAGGACCCAUCUGUGUCCCCAGUGUCCCCAGUGUUCCUGCUGUCCUCCCUGUCCCCAAUGUCCCUACUUGGGUGAUGUCCCUACUGUCCCUAAUGUCCUCAGUGUCCCUCAGGACCCUGAUGUCCCCAAUGUCCCCACUGUCCCCAAUAUCGCCAUGUCCCCAGUGUCCCCAAUGAUGUCCCCACUGUCCCCAAUGUCUCAGCGUGUGACGGUGACGGGCACGCGGUGCCAGGCGUUGCUCAGCACCCCGCGCAGGUUCCAGAUGGGCGCCAUGUCCCCAAUGUCCCCAAUGUCCCCAGUGUCCCCAGUGUCCCUCAGCGUGUCACAGUGACGGGCACGCGGUGCCAGGCGUUGCUCAGCACCCCGCGCAGGUUCCAGAUGGGCGCCAUGUCCCCAGUGUCCCCAAUG